UACAGAGGGUGCGAGCGUUAAUCGGAAUUACUGGGCGUAAAGUGUGCGCAGGUGGCCGCGCAAGUCGAGUGUGAAAUCCCCGAGCUUAACUUGGGAAUUGCGCUCGAAACUACGUGGCUCGAGUGUGGCAGAGGAAGGUGGAAUUCCACGUGUAGCGGUGAAAUGCGCAGAUAUCAGGAGGAACACCGGUGGCGAAGGCGGGUCUCUGGGCAAUAACUGACGCUGAGGAGCGAAAGCGUGGGGAGCGAACAGG
rnacentral:rRNA from 1 species